rnacentral:tRNA from 1 species
GAGGAUAUAGCUCAGUGGUAGAGUGCAUACUUGGUAUGUAUGAGGUCCUGGGUUCAAUCCCCAGUUCCUCC